UACGUAGGGGGCAAGCGUUGUCCGGAAUCAUUGGGCGUAAAGCGCGCGUAGGCGGCCCGGUAAGUCCGCUGUAAAAGUCCAGGGCUCAACCCUGGAAAGCCGGUGGAUACUGUCGGGCUAGAGUCCGGAAGAGGCGAGUGGAAUUCCUGGUGUAGCGGUGAAAUGCGCAGAUAUCAGGAGGAACACCAAUGGCGAAGGCAGCUCGCUGGGACGUUACUGACGCUGAGACGCGAAAGCGUGGGGAGCAAACAGG
rnacentral:rRNA from 1 species